AUGUUCCUAUCACAAGUCUAUGGUCCUACUCCUUCCCAAUCAGUGUCCUAAUCUUAGCAAGAGAACUUGCUGAGGUUGAGCACUUAACCUUUGCCACAAUUCUGUAAUCUGUACAAUUAUAUUUAGUAUCUGAAGAUGAACUUAUUCUGUCCUGUGCCUAUCCCAGAUAAAUGGUUCUUUGGAUUUCAGCAUAUCUGUACCUUAAAAUAAGAAUUUAAUACUUCAUGUUUAUCUCUUCCAUUGUUUAAAAACUCUCCAGGGCAGUCAGAAACAUCCAUUUCACUCUACAAUCUUUAUAAUUAUUACUGUUGCCAUAGCAAUCAAGAGCAACAGCAGCAAAAGCCCCCAAAGCUUUGUGGUCCAUAUGCCCCUCACACUAUUCCCAGUGCUAACUGGAGUAAUCCUGCUGCCCCUCCAUGCCACGGGUUACUAGCAUCCCUUUUGUUCGCUAUGCACGCACGAAUCUGUGGGUAACCCAGCCAGAAUCCCACAAUUGAGGAACUGUGUUUCCUGGGGUCACUCUGCUAUCAGCCAGGGUCUUGGUAGGAAAUGCAGUCCAUCUCCGAAAGGUUGAAGAGAUUUGCUGCUCAACAGCUGUGGGCAGGAUUACAGAGGCAACUGGAUUAAUUUGCUAGGACAGCUGUAACAAAGUACGAGAAGGGAGGUAGCUUAAACAACAGAAAUGUAUUAUCUCCCAGUUCUGGGAGCUAGACAUCUGAGAUCAAGGUUGUCGGCAGGGAAGGAUCUAUUUCAGAUAAGGUCACAUUCUGAGUUGCUGGGAGUUAGGACCUCAACAUAUGAAUUUGGGGAGACAUAAGUCAACCUGUAACACCAUCAAGGGUGAUGAGAACGUAGAGAUGAGCAACAGCGGGAAGUGGGUAGGGCUCUGCCGGAUUUUCUCCACCCGCUCCUCCAGAUCCCCUCUUCACCCUCCUCCACCUUGUUGUGUGUCUGGGAGGCUGACUGCCGCAGACUGCAGCCUGUGACCCCUUGCCUCCUAUUGGCUUCUGUUUGACUUGGGUAAUGGCACAGGCAGGAGCUUCGGAGGUGGGAGAGAGAUAAUAGAAACACAGUACCUCAUAGUACCCUCCCAUGCCUUCCCAAUGACUUUCAUAUCCCUCUCCGUGCUUCUUUCAUAUUUAAUAUUUGGCAGAUCAGAGCUGAAUAAUGUUUAAAACAUGGGUGAGCGUGUGUGAACCCUUUCAGAAGUUUUUGAACAUUUAAUAAUAAUGGCUGAUGUUCACUGAGUACUUACUUUGUGUUCUAAGUACUUACUACAGUAUGCUCUUGAUAGUUCCUACAAGGGAGGCACUACGAUUAUCCUAAUUUUAUAGUUGAGUAAACUGAGGCUCAUUGAGAUUGGUAUCUUGCCCAAGGUCAAGAUCACACAGCUAAUUAGCAGCAGUUGCAGGAUUCCAUUUGGGGCUGUCAGCCACCAGAGGCUGCUCUAAACCACAAGGUCAUCUGUGCUCAUCCAUUUACCAGACAUGACCUCCCCUACUUGACCUCCUGUCAAACUCAUAUUCAAGUACUGAUCUAGCAACAGCUGUUCUGUGGGACUUUCUCAAUUCCCUCCCCCCAAGAACUGACCACGCGGUCUGCGCAUUGCUCUCUGCUCACUGCCCCCCUGCGUGGGCUCCUGUUAGGAAGCCUACGGCUCUUUUCUGCCUCAUUUUCCUACCUGUGAGUUCUCCAGGGCAGACAAGUCUCCCAGUUCAUCUCUGCGAUUCCCGGGCCUGGCAGUGUGUCUGCGCGGGAGGUGCCAGUGAAUGUCUCUGGAAGGAAUGUUUUCUUACCGUCCCCGACUGUUCUAUAUGCCCUGGUGCACCCUAAUGGUCCCGAUUACCAUUGACUUCCUUCCUCAGUUUCAUUCAGAGGCUGUUAGUGGCUGCCAGUCCUGGACCAUGCUCUCCCGGCCUCUGGGUGGGCGUUCCUGUCCCCCGCCCACACGGUUCUUGUCCGCCAGGUCUGGUCAGGGUUUCUGAGCUGUUCCCUUCUGGAGGCGCUUCCCUGAGUUCCCAGGCGUCCUGGGGG
rnacentral:lncRNA from 1 species